UCCCAGUUGCGAACCCUUUUUAUGCUAAGAGUUAUACCGUGUGGAUUUGCUGUGGCAUCUUUACACUCUAAAUAUAUAGUGGCAUUAAGUUCUCUGUUAGUAGAAUUUGUAACCCACAGGUGUACAUAUUACAUCAGUGGGUUUUAUUCGGACUGCUCAGGUCUGGAGAGUUUCACUGAUGUAUUGGACUACAUCCAGAUUUCCAGCGCUGGAGGUCUGUGGUAAACCUCCCACUGUUGGCAGCGGCCUGACCCGGCCGAGGCAGCGGAUGGGGUGGGCGUUAAAUCUAAGGCCCCUAUGGAGAGGACGGGAGUCCAGGUGUUUCCCUGCUUUGAUGGUUGCUGGAAAACUCUUUAUACCCUCCGUAAUCUCACUAAGCACCAAUUCAGCCUCCUCGUUCUGUUCAACAAGACUGUGAAUCCACAAAAAUGUCGUUUUGCUGCAGCUGCUUCACGACAAUUGUAGUUUCCUCCGAAGUUCUGUUCCUGCACAUGAGAAAGUGCGCAGUCGAAGAGGUUAAGAAGAAGAAACAGAAUCUCUCAAGCGAGCGCGGCCAACAAUUCGUUCUGUGUAACUCUACCUUUACAACGACUACUCUUCAGACAGGAGGGGAGGAGAUGUGAGGGGUGUGAUGAGGUCAAUCCCCUGGUGCCUGAAAAAUCAUGAAGAAAAUAUGGACUCUUGGCACACGCUACAGCAUUUCCUAUAAAGAUUUUGGACUGUGGAGGUAUAACACAAUGAUAAAUAUGACAGGUGAAGUCUUGCUUAUUUUUUGCUCAGAAAUUUUAAUCAUUUUGUAACGUUUUAUUAGACUUUAGAAUUUAUUAGAUUUCGUAAGAAGUCAUGAAAAGAGUUUUUGUAAUCAUUUGCAUGUAUCAAAUUUUAUUUAUACAACAAUGUGUAAAACUAAUGCAAAAGUUUUAAUCUUUACAAUAAUUAUAGUUAGAAAGCUUUAUUACAUGACUUCACGACUUAAAUACUUAAAUGUGUUAAAUUUGUCAAAUUGUAGAGACAUUUAUUUAAGGGGAGCCAACAAUGUCUGAAAAUGACGUAAAAGAUUUCACAUUUCUGCCUUCAGAGUGUAAUAAAAGUUGGACAAUUAUGCUAAAUGAAUAACUGUAUGACUGGAGUGUAUACAUAGAUGACAGAAUGUUCUUGAAUGUUUUCCUCAUGAUAACCUCUUGUCUUUUCCA